GAUGAACGCUGGCGGCGUGCUUAACACAUGCAAGUCGAGCGAAGCACUUAUGAUGAUCCUUCGGGUGAUUCAUUUGUGACUGAGCGGCGGACGGGUGAGUAACGCGUGAGUAACCUGCCUCAUACAGGGGAAUAACAGUUAGAAAUGACUGCUAAUGCCGCAUAAGCGCACAGGGCCGCAUGGCCCGGUGUGAAAAACUCCGGUGGUAUGAGAUGGACUCGCGUCUGAUUAGCUAGUUGGUGAGGUAACGGCCCACCAAGGCGACGAUCAGUAGCCGGCCUGAGAGGGUGAACGGCCACAUUGGGACUGAGACACGGCCCAAACUCCUACGGGAGGCAGCAGUGGGGAAUAUUGCACAAUGGGGGAAACCCUGAUGCAGCGACGCCGCGUGAGUGAAGAAGUAUUUCGGUAUGUAAAGCUCUAUCAGCAGGGAAGAAA
rnacentral:rRNA from 1 species